rnacentral:misc_RNA from 1 species
UGAUGCUUUGCUUCAAAACGACCCUCGCCUCACCUCUCACCUAAAGCCAUAGGAUAGCCUUUGUGUAGCCUUUCGUCUUGAUAACACUGAUAUGUGAGUUCAUUGACUAGUCAUGAGAAUUAUAGAAGUUAAAGGCUUUAAAUUAUGAAGAGUCAUAUUAUGUCGACUAUAUAAAUUUGUUUAUGUAAGUGUGAAAUGUUAAAAGGAGGAAAUUUCAUUUUAUAAUUUUUUCAAUGUAGUUCUUUGAGGAUUGUGAACAUCCAUCUUCAAGUUCCAAUAGUAGCACCACCAAUAUAUAUCAUAGAGCACCAUUUGAUCGUAGAAAUAAGUAAAAUUAAUCAAAAGCAAAAGAAAAGAUCUCCCAAGCAAUUGCAAAAAAUAACAACAAAUAUCUAUCGGACUGAAUUUCUAAAAAUGCUUCAGUCAAGUCAUGUAACAUAAAUAGCAUGAUGAAAAAGCAAAAUGGUUCAAAUUUAUUGGCUUAAAAUAAACACAGAAAACUAAAACUUACUCGGAAACCUACUAGAAUGGAAAAAUAAAUGUGCAGGAAUUCAGAGUCCUGGCAUAACAUAGCUCUUUGCCCUAGCUAAAUCAAUUUCUCAACUAAGUAAAUAGUGCUCUAUAUUUCCACUAGUCUCUUCAGCUAAAAUUCCUAAUUUCAUUUCAUACUAAUACCUAUAAUUAAUUAAAAAGGAGAAAAAGUAAAGACCGUGGUAAUAACUUCACCAAAGAAGUAAAUAUAUCAAAGAACAAUUUUAUCAGGUAAAAAAGGUAGCCACCUUCCACUUUCAGAUGAGGGUUUCUUGAAGCUUUCCAACUCCACUCCUGGUUUCGACAAAUAUCUUCCUGAAGCUUGAGAAGUUCCAAUCUGAUGUUUAAGAUUAAACAAAACAAAAUGGGAUCACAUGCUAUUCUAAAAGUAAUAGCAGCUAGGAGUUUGAUAACAUACUUUCUUCAUAAUGGGUUCUGUCUUCUUAGUAGAGUUAGGAAUUUUAUCCCCAACAACUUUCUCCAAG